rnacentral:lncRNA from 1 species
GAGGAUCGUAAAUUGGCGAAAUUGAUGGGAUAAAAACACACACACAUAUAUAUUUCAAGUGAGAGAGAUUUUAAAAUGAGAGGGUGAGAGGGUUAAAUCUCAACCCUUAGAUCAAGUUAAAUGCUUACAAUUAUUUACACAUGCACACACACAAUUAUUCAAAGAUCACUUUUCCAGUUCUUCAUCUCUCUCGCUUUAUCUUCUUCUCCGGCGCCUUUCUCCCUGGAAUUCUCAACUCAACCAGAAAAAAACUAAAGUUCUUGAAAGAUUUUAUGUUGAUUACAAGGGAAUUUAGUUUUCUCAAAACUCAAUCCUCUAUAGUCUCAAAUCCAAUCCCCUCCCUUUAAAAACUUGGAAGUGGUGAAGGAAGACUGGAACACGCUUUUUCUCCCUUUUUCUCGUGUCCUUUGAUUU